UCAACCGCCAUCUGAAUCAGUUUCUAUCAAUGCAGAUUUUAUAUCUAUAUACUCCGUCUUCUACUCCUCAGUCACAUUCUUCUCCAUUUAUUCAAAAUCUGAGAAAAGAAGUUUAGAGAAAAUCGUGAGUUAUUCAAGAAGCUUCCUGCAAUUGCAAAUUUGUAUUAUCCAAUAAAAGUUUGAAGGAGAAACGAGAGAGAUUUGUUUUCAAGUCCUCGUGCUGCUAGCAAUUUCUUUCUGCCAAUUAAAGGGUGAUCUUUUGUACGUCGUUUGAUGUUGGAAUGGAGAGGUGAUUGAGGAGUUAAGCUUGUGAGGUUGAGCUGUGACGAGCGCGGUGGGUGUUGAGCAGAACUGGUGAAGAUUUGUGUUUGCUGUUGAAUGUUCUGAAUAUAUUAUGUCUUCAUACAUAGUAUUAUUCUUCUCUCGAAUGCUUCCGCUGAAUGUUGUUUCUUUCGAAAUCUUGUAUUGUGGAGAUAAUAUUUAUUUGAGUUGUUGAUUAUUGAAAUACUCUGAUUUGAGCUAUUCCCAUUUAUAUUUAA